rnacentral:rRNA from 1 species
GACGAACGCUGGCGGCGUGCUUAACACAUGCAAGUCGAGCGGUAAGGCCCUUUCGGGGGUACACGAGCAGCGAACGGGUGAGUAACACGUGGGUGACCUGCCCUCAGCUCUGGGAUAAGCCUGGGAAACCGGGUCUAAUACUGGAUAUGACUCCAUGACGCAUGUUGUGGGGUGGAAAGCCUUGUGCGGCUGAGGAUGGGCCCGCGGCCUAUCAGCUUGUUGGUGGGGUGAUGGCCUACCAAGGCGACGACGGGUAGCCGGCCUGAGAGGGCGACCGGCCACACUGGGACUGAGACACGGCCCAGACUCCUACGGGAGGCAGCAGUGGGGAAUCUUGCGCAAUGGGCGAAAGCCUGACGCAGCGACGCCGCGUGAGGGAUGACGGCCU